UACGAAGGGGGCUAGCGUUGCUCGGAAUCACUGGGCGUAAAGGGUGCGUAGGCGGGUCUUUAAGUCAGGGGUGAAAUCCUGGAGCUCAACUCCAGAACUGCCUUUGAUACUGAGGAUCUUGAGUUCGGGAGAGGUGAGUGGAACUGCGAGUGUAGAGGUGAAAAUUUCGUAGAUAUUUCGCAAAGAAACACCCAGUGGCGAAAGGCGGCUCACUGGCCCCGAUACUGACGCUGAGGCACGAAAAGCGUGGGGGAGCAAACAGG
rnacentral:rRNA from 1 species